GGUAUACGUUAGGGUGGAGAGUUCUGGACAACCAAAAAGCCACUCACUCGUUAACUUCCAUGGUCUUCCUCUCAAUUGUAGUAGAUGCCAUGUUUGGUCGGACUAUGAUUCCCAAUUGUAGCAGGACACACUACAGCGGAUUUGGAGGUGACACUUCAAAGAGGAAAUGCUUACUCGUCGAUUCUACUUCUACUUCUGACCUGCUUAAUCCAUCCUGAUGCCCUAUUUCUGGCUGGAGUUCAUCACUUCGCUCCUGCAGUGAUGGCUUCAUGUGUAUAGUUCCUGAUCCAUCCUGCUGCCCUCAUUCUGACAAGACUGGAAGGAGAAACUCCCAUCACAUACAACUCCCCAUAACAGACAACAGUAGAAGGUGUGGUACAAGCCUGGAAAAGCAUCACAAAAGAAGAAUGCAGCAGUCUGGUGCUACAAGUCGGUUGCUGGCUUGAUGUAGUUAUUGCAAGCAAGGGAUAUGCAACC